CUUUUUUCAGACUUUGUAACAAUACCUACUGGGCUCGGAAGGAAAACGUGGUCUGUUAUUAAACGGUAAUGAUGUAAUUAAAAUAGAGAGGUUUUGGGAGGUUCGGUUUUAAGGUGGCCAAGAUGAAAAAGACCUUUAAGGGAAAGAAUGAAGUGGGGAAAACAACUUGAAAAGGAAUUCUGAGUUUCUGGUGGACCUGAAGAAGAAGAUCAUGGAGGACCCCACAAAAUCGAUGAAUCGCCUCUCUAACAAGUUUGACGUAGAUGAAGGGACAAUCAGGACGGCUGUGAAGGAGUACUUGGUGUUAUCUCCAUACACAAGGACCCCACACCACCUAUCAUAUAUUAUAUUGUUAAGCUCGUGCGUGGAUCGGAUCAAGGCAAAUGGAUCCACAUAAAAAAAUUUCUCUGCCGAGAAGAUUUUGACCAUAGACCAGGUCUAUACACCUCGGAACGACCGUUGCCUUGAGGGUCAUCCAAGGAGGUCAAAGAGGUAUUCCGUACAAAACAUCCGGACCAAAAAAGGGUCCUGGGGGUCGCGGCGUCCAACGGCAACAUGAUGCAUCGCUUCUUUUUUAAUGCUGAGGAGAAAAUUGACCAGGAGGCCUACUACAAGGUACUGAGGUUCACCAUACUAACAUGGCUCAAGUCCACCUACCCAGAGUGCAAAUAUGUGUGGACUGAAGAUGGUACACCCUCACACACAUUGGCCAAAUGCAAGAAGUUCUGCGCCAACAACAUGGCUGAUUUUUGGUCCAAGGACAUGCAUCCAUCAUCUUCGCCAGAUUUGAAUCCGUUGGACUUUCCUGUGUGGGGUACUUUGGAGAAGGAGACUAACCGGACAUCUCACCUGAACGUGGACUCCCUGAAGACCGCCAUUGUGAGGGAGUGGAACAACUUGUCCGAGAAGUUCAUCAUCAACUCCUGCAAGGCUUUCCACCGCCAUGUGGAGGCUGGGGUUCUGCUGAGGAUUGCCAUAUUGAGUGAGCAUGUUCACAAAGGUUGUCACUAAGUCAACGUUUGCUUCCAAACCCUGUGUAUAUUGAAUUGUAGAGUUGCAAAAAAUAUGUAAAUCUUACGAAAAAAUAUGAAAUAUCCAUCGACAAAAUCAAGUUAGAAAAAGAGAACAGAGUUACAUAUACCAGUCGUCUAAAUAUUUAAGAAUUAAGUAUUAUUUCAAUAUAUAAUCUUCACUCCUUAGGUGCAGAAUCGAAGAAAACUUUCAAAAAGUUGUAUAAUGGAUAUGCAGUAUGUAUAAGAGCUUAUUCCCCAAAUAUCAACAAAUGUAAUAUUCCAAAUAAAAAAUAACAUAGUCAUAGUAAGACGAUUGAUAAUUUUUGAAAAUCUUCCUAUGUUUAAGGUAAAAAAAAAAAAAGGACAGAAUCGUUACGAGGCCAUAACAGAUUCAGGAUAUGAAAUGACUAUAAUCGAUCAACAAUUCCUUGAAAGGAUGAGUAUUACUCCAAGUAUGUUAAAGUAAUCUAAAGGUAAAAAAGAUUAACCUUAACAUCAGUUAUGGAUCGGAGAAGUGGAAAAAGAAAUCAAGGUUGUUACUGAAUUAUUGGAAUGCUACUAUCACGGAAAACCUGCAAAGAAUUGGAAAUAUUAUCUCAGGAUUACCUUACACAAUUAGAAUCAAAUUGUUGGAUGAAGCGGGAAACUAUAGAGAUUGGUAAAGGGGAUGGAGAAAAGAUUCCUAAACCGGAGGAGAUUGAAAAGAGUACAGCUAAAUUUAAUGGAAAAAUACAAAAAUGUCAUGCCAAUGAAGAAGAUGAAGUGCAACCCAAUAAAGACUAUAUCAAAAGAAAAGGAUAUACUUUUUAAAUUGUAUAAUGCAAGAACGAUACCCUAAAGAGAGGCAACUUAAAAAUAAUUGGAUAAUAUGUUAAAAAAAAGUUAUUAUUACAAAACUGGGAAACAAACCAGCAGAAUGGUGUUACCCCAUAGAGAAAGAAAUUCAUGGAGGCGACAAGGAAUUUUUAUUGGUAGUUUGACAAACCAAGGCAGUAGUAGAUCUAAAUCAGGUAGAUAAAAUGGAGUUUUUAUAAUACAGUUCACACUCUUCAAUAUUUCAAUUCAUCCCAGAAAUUAGAAUUUAAUGCCUAUGUCUGCAGCAAUGAAUUACUGCUGAAGGAGGGGGUAUAUUAUUUUCAACGUCAGUUAAAGUUGGGAUUACGGAUUUGAAUCGACGAACUUCAUAUUCUAUAUUUGUUCAUAAAAUAUAGUUCCAUACUUUUACUAAAAUGUUAAAAUAUUGUGUUACUUACGCUUGCCUCAACUGGAGGUAAGGGUUCGUCAUCUGGACUUAGUUUUCAUUAGCUUCCAGGAGGUCCAGGCUAAGCUUAGAUUGAAUCAUAACGCCAAAUUCAAUUUCAAGUUUCGUUUUCUCGUAUAAUUAAAGUCAAUAGAGAUAUCGGAUAAAUGGAUAAAAGCUGUCCAUUGAAAGCUCUGAUUACCUUGUCGGAGAAUCAUUUAAACACCAAAGAAUUUAAUUUAGCGAUAUGGAAGUGAAAGAAAUCAAAUUGAUGCAAGAUAAUAUUACUGAAUUAAAUAAUAUAUAUGAGAUUGCUAAGAUCUGGCGUCACAAAAAAACAAUCCUUCUAUUCAGCUUGAUUAGCAAUCGAUUUCCAACGCUACGCUACUCCAAGAAAAGGGAAAAUGGGCAUUUAUAGUCAAAUGGGACCACAAUUUUUUUGUCGAAGAGAGUUUAAUUUUUUUUUUUAGAAGCAUGGGGAGUUGAGUGGAAAUUUUCAUAACCCCUCAAUCAAAUGGUUUAGCCGUAGGAAAUGUUAAGAGACUAAUAUAUACGUUUAAAAAAUUAACAAUAGACAGUCGAGUAGAUAUGUUGAUGGUUAAUCCAUGACUACUUGGUAUAAAUAAUACUUCGACAGAGAAUGGAGUUAUCCCAGUAAAGUUAGUAUUUGGACAGGAUAUGAGGUCAAUUUUACCAAAGUUUCUUAUUAAGUCCAAUAAUAAUAAUAAUUUAUCUGCAAUGAAGAAAAAAUAGAAUCAAAGUCGUUAUCAAAAAAUACCCGGUGUAAAAAGAGUACUGAUGCCUGCCUCGAAGUAGUCUUUAAAUACUCAUAAUUGAUCAAGAUGCUGUUGUACGAAAAAAAAUUAUUUUAUUAUAAUUUUGUUGUAUACCAGAAUUCGUCGUUUUAUUUCACUUAGUAAUCUACAAUAUAUACAUACAUA
rnacentral:lncRNA from 1 species